rnacentral:rRNA from 1 species
UACGGGGGGAGCAAGCGUUGUUCGGAUUUACUGGGCGUAAAGGGCGCGUAGGCGGCCAGCACAAGUCAGUUGUGAAAUCUCCGAGCUUAACUCGGAACGGUCAACUGAUACUGUGCGGCUAGAGUGCGGAAGGGGCAACUGGAAUUCUUGGUGUAGCGGUGAAAUGCGUAGAUAUCAGGAGGAACACCGGUGGCGAAGGCGGGUCUCUGGGCCGAUACUGACGCUGAGGAGCGAAAGCGUGGGGAGCGAACAGG